GUGUCGUCUGUUUCUUAUAUCAUGAGAAAUUUCCCUACUUUAUAGUCUGGUUCAUAUGCACACAGCAUUAUUUAGAUAAUUGCAGUGCCAGAGUUUAGGUUGUAGAAUCCCAUUUUGCUAGUGUAUAUUAGUAUUAAGCAUGUGAUUUGAUCCUUUCUGAAUAUUUAUUAAUUUGAAGUCUUCAAAUACUUAAAAACUCAUGAGUGUCCUAUUUUAUAGGUUUUUCUCAAAUUUUAAGUCCUAAUUUACAUAAAAUGAAAAAACAUUCUGAUUGUUUUCUUUGGGAGAUACUUUUAUAUUUCAGGCCUUCAAUCGCUAAGUAAUUGAAUUUCUUUUCAUAAAGUACA
rnacentral:lncRNA from 1 species